AUAGACUUCGUCGGUAUCUCGACGCUAUGGCUUUAGUUAGAAAAUAUGGAAAGCCAGACGUAUUCCUAACAAUGACCUGCAACCCCAACUGGGAGGAGAUCACACGUGAACUAGAGACUGGACAAACACCACAAGAUCGCCCAGACAUUGUCGUUCGUGUUUUUAGGGCAAAGCUACAAGAAAUGAAGCAACAACUAUUCAAGAAGGGCAUUCUUGGAAAGGUUCAGGCAUAUACAUAUGUCGUAGAGUUCCAAAAGAGGGGAUUACCCCAUGCUCACUUUUUGCUCAUCAUGACUGGAAGAUACAAGUACACAUGUCCAGAGCAGUAUGACAGAAUCAUCUCCGCCGAGCUCCCUAACAAGCACAAGCACCCAGAACUAUACAAAAUGGUAAUCAAACAUAUAAUGCAUGGUCCUUGCGGUGCAUUGAACAAAUUGUGUCCAUGCACAAAGAAUCGUCCGUCAUGCAAGAACAAUUAUCCAAGGCUAUUUAACGAAACUACGAUUCAAGGCAAGGACACCUACCCAAUAUAUAGGAGGCGCGACGACGGACGGACUGAAAUGGUCCGAAAUUGCACAUUAGAUAACAGGUGGGUGGUUCCUUACAAUCCCUAUCUGUUAAGGAUGUUCAAGUGCCACAUAAAUGUUGAGGUAUGCUCAAGCAUUAAAGCCGUUAAGUACCUCUUCAAGUACAUCUACAAGGGCCACAACCGAGCAUCCGUAUCUGUAACUGACAAAGUAGAGGAAGUCGAAAUCGACGAGAUUAAGCAGUACAGAGACGCCCGGUGGGUGACACCUCCUGAAGCACUGUGGAGAAUAUAUGGCUUCGAACUAAGCAAAAUGCACCCACCAGUCUUGCAACUGCAGCUGCAUCUCCCAAAUAUGCACAUGGUUUCAUAUCAUGCCAUGGAGAAAAUACAGAAUGUUAUCGACCGUGAAGGCACGGAAAGAUCAAUGUUGACUGCGUACUUUGAAGCAAACAGCUCACAUGAGAAAGCACGAGGCAUACUAUACAGAGAUUUUCCGGAACAUUAUCAGUCAGGGGAAGUUUUGGCGACCGAGGAAGCGAGCCGCUGUGUUCCAGGUUGGCAGGAUCAUCGCAGCACACCCGGUCGAAGGAGAACGAUACUAUCUUCGGGUCCUCCUAAACCACGUGACAGGCGCCACCAGCUAUGAAGACCUAUGAACAGUCGAUGGACAAGUAAUGCCAACCUUUUGUGAAGCUGCAGAAAAAAGAGGGCUCAUUGAGGCAGAUAGCACAUUGGACGACUGCAUGACAGAAGCGGAGUUGUUUAGAAUGCCAUCAUCGCUGCGAAGGCUAUUUGCGACAAUCUUGGUUUUUUGCGAAACCAGCGACGUACGUAGCCUCUGGAACAAGCACCUUGAGGCAAUGUCAGAGGACUACAGCAAAAAUUGCAAAUGCAAGCACACAGUCAAACAGAUGGUUCUGAAAAAUAUCAAAGACAUGUUGCACUCGAUGGGAAAAAACAUAGAAUCGUUUCCUCUUCCAGAGAUCGACGAACAGCAUGAGAUGACAGACGACAUACCGAGGGAGAUCAUCGAGGAGACCUCCAUCGAGGUGGAACACGAGGACGCAUCUUUGCAUAAGAACCUAAACAAGGAGCAGAAGGAGGCCUACGAUGAAAUCCUAGCAACAAUUGACCGCCAAAGAGGAGGUAUAUUCUUUGUCAAUGGACCUGGAGGCACGGGAAAAACUUUUCUUUA
rnacentral:lncRNA from 1 species